AUAGAUACCCAGGUAGUCCACGCCCUAAACGAUGCGAACUGGAUGUUGGGUACAUUACGGUACUCAGUGUCGAAGCUAACGCGUUAAGUUCGCCGCCUGGGGAGUACGGUCGCAAGACUGAAACUCAAAGGAAUUGACGGGGGCCCGCACAAGCGGUGGAGUAUGUGGUUUAAUUCGAUGCAACGCGAAGAACCUUACCUGGCCUUGACAUCUGUCGAAUCCUGCAGAGAUGCGGGAGUGCCGCAAGGAACGACAAGACAGGUGCUGCAUGGCUGUCGUCAGCUCGUGUCGUGAGAUGUUGGGUUAAGUCCCGCAACGAGCGCAACCCUUGUCCCUAGUUGCCAGCACGUAAUGGUGGGAACUCUAGGGAGACUGCCGGUGACAAACCGGAGGAAGGUGGGGAUGACGUCAAGUCCUCAUGGCCCUUACGGCCAGGGCUACACACGUACUACAAUGGUCGGUACAGAGGGUUGCGAAGCUGCGAGGUGGAGCCAAUCCCAGAAAACCCGAUCCCAGUCCGGAUCGGAGUCUG
rnacentral:rRNA from 1 species